rnacentral:SRP_RNA from 1 species
GCCGGGUGCAGUGGCGCGUGCCUGUAGUCCCAGCUACUUGGGAGGCUGAGGUGGGAGGAGUUCUGGGCUGUAGUGUGCUGUGCCGAUCUGGUGUCCGUACUAAGUUUGGCAUCAAUAUGGUGACCUCUCGGGAGCGGGGGACCACCAGGUUGCUUAAGGAGGGGUGAACCAGCCCAGGUCAGAAACAGAGCAGGUCAAAACUCCAUGCUGAUCAGUAGUGGGAUUGCACCUGUGAAUAGUCACUGUGCUCCAGCCUAGGCAACAUAGCAAGAUCCUGUCUCU